rnacentral:lncRNA from 1 species
AAAAUAAAAAAUAAAAACUAACAAAUAACAAAGACUUCAUGCUUAUAUUAUCUUGAAGUUAUUAAAAAUAGUAUUUCUAAGUACUUUGUAUUGGGAUUAAGCUUUUACAUUGAAAUUUGAAAUAGUUUGUAUUUAGAUGUUUGAAACCUACUAGCCUACCUGGAUACUUGCAAACAUUGUUUUAUCUUCCACAACCAGAUGCUUGGUGUGUUCUCAAGCAAGAUAGC